UUUUAUUUCCAUCAGCUGAUGAUGGAUUGAUCGGUAACAUAGCCUCAGGCGCUUCAAUUUUCUCUGGAAUGGUUGUCGAGUCCGCUUCACAUACGCCUGUUUCAGAAGCUGGCUCAGGAUCCGUCGCUAAGGUUUCAGAAGCUGGCUCAGGAUCCGUCGCUAAGGUUUCAGACAACCCAGUUACUUCUUCUGCUUCAGCCACCAGCUGUCCAUCUGUGGUGUUCUUGAGACUCGUAAGAUGUUCCUCGGAAGAAGCAGGACAAACCUUCUCCGCAUUCGAAUCAGA
rnacentral:lncRNA from 1 species